CCUACGGGUGGCAGCAGUGAGGAAUAUUGGUCAAUGGGCGCGAGCCUGAACCAGCCAAGUCGCGUGGGUGAAGAAGCGCCUCGGCGCGUAAAGCCCUGUCAGCAGGGAAGAAAAUGACGGUACCUGAAGAAGAAGCCCCGGCUAACUACGUGCCAGCGGCCGCGGUAAUACGUAGGGGGCAAGCGUUAUCCGGAUUUACUGGGUGUAAAGGGGGCGCAGACGGCGAUGCAAGCCAGGAGUGAAAGCCCGGGGCCCAACCCCGGGACUGCUCUUGGAACUGCGUGGCUGGAGUGCAGGAGGGGCAGGCGGAAUUCCUGGUGUAGCGGUGAAAUGCGUAGAUAUCAGGAGGAACACCGGUGGUGAAGGCGGCCUGCUGGACUGCAACUGACGUUGAGGCCCGAAAGCGUGGGGAGCAAACAGGAUUAGAUACCCCUGUAGUC
rnacentral:rRNA from 1 species